rnacentral:lncRNA from 1 species
AUAUAAGAAACAGUAGCUAAUAGACUGGACCAAUUAUAUGAAAACAAUCAUAUUCAUUAUAAUAACUACCCUACACAGUACAGGAUCAAGCAACUAUUUCGGACGUAACAUGUUUGCGUCGUUCUAUAAAAAAAUUGGGGUAUCGUCAUCAUCCUGCGACUACCAACUCUCUACUAGUCAGUGAACGGAGAACCGAGAGCACUAUCGCUUGAGGUAGCGGAGAGCAUCAAGCGGAUAAACUCUGUCUAAUUUUCAGCUAAUUCCCCUUCAGUGCUGGUCGGACACGGACCAUAUACCAUCCCCGAGUGGAUUUUUUUUGUCUGUGGGUGACCCGAACUGUUGGACGAAUUGAAAAAUAUUAUAAUUUGGCGUCGUAUCUAAGCAGAAACGAAAGUAUUGAGAGUGGUAUCCGAGGUUAGCCAGUUGGCUAACUGGGAAGGUUGCCUAGCUAGCUACUGCUGAGAAAAUACGAAGCGGAGGGAGACUACAGCGGCAAAAAGGGCCAUCGACGUGAGCUGUAUCCUGAAGAGGAGCUCUCCGUUUUUCUGGACACAUCAAGAGGAGUCGGAGUCCAUUUUGCUGUGUUCUACUCUGAUACUUUCGGAGAUUACUCUCCUUUCCACUACAAGGAAAGCCAGCCUGCAGAACGACAAGCCAACGCCAUCAAGUUUUUCCGACCGAUACAGCAAACACAGUUGUCAUCCCGUUUUGCAAUGGCAUGUCGCAGUGGUGGGAGAACGCAACUUCAUGCAGUGAACUCCUUAUCUUAGGGAAGCAUUCAGGUCUUCAAAGAGGGGAGGUUAAUGCGAACCUCUGUCCAGCAUAGCUAGAAUGCAAUGUCUUGCCUCCACUGACAGCCCUAACAGUGAGGGGCCAGGCCGGGAGCGGAGAGGAGAGCAACCCCCAGUGUGGCCUGACCGAGAGAAUCAAUGCCAAGCCCUUCUCCUCCUCAGACAGCCUAGUGAAGGUCCAGGAGGUAGCAAGCUGGCUUUUGGAAAUGAACCAGGAUCUGCUGUCGGGGGGCAGCAGGCGGGGCCUGGGGGGCCGGCGAGGGGGCCCGGGGGCCCAGCGAGGUAACGCCUCCUCCUCGGCCCGGACGCCCCAGGGCCAGCAGCCUGGAGAGGAGGCCGACGAGGAGGAGCACAUGAACCGGGUGGUGGAGGACCAAGAACACCAGCAGUCCAGAGUCCAGCCUGCGGCCUCGGCGGGGGGGGAAGGAGUGGAAGAGCCGUGGACCUCCAGGGAGAAUGGGCCCCGGGGAGACGGAGAGGAGGAGGAUGGAGGAGGAGUACCCAACGAGGUGAACGGAGGAGGGACUAAGGGCGGCCGGUGGAUGUGGGAGGCGGAGCGACGGCAACAGGGGGAGGAUGACGAGGAGGAGGAGGAGGAAGAGGAGAACAACAACAGUGGCAGCCAGCAGGGAGAGGAGGAGGAAAGGACAGAGGGAGGAGAGAGAACGGGGAGGGAGGACGAGGAGGAGAUGGACCAGGACAGUGAUGACUUUGAGCAUUCGGAGGAGAGCGGGAGGGAGGAAGAAGAGGAGGAGGAGGGGGAGGACGGCCUCCACUCACCCUCCACCAGGAGUGAUGCAUCUGUCCCCAACAACAACUUGGACCAGUCCUCGGGAUGCCAACACCAAAGCUCACCCAUCAAGAAGAAGCUCUAGCCUGGCCUGAGGAACCAGUGCACUCCCUGGGAGUCUGGGCUGCAUCACGUUAGCGCCCCACUCAUACUGGCUCUAGCCUGGCCUGAGGAACCACUGCACUCCCUGGGAGUCUGGGCUGCAUCACCACUUAUGCUGAACAGAAGUUAACACCCGUGAAUAUUGCAAAACGGCAACAAUGUCCAUUACAGGCUAGAACAAGAAGAUACUGCUAGCUUCCAGCUUUGUAAGCUAAGAUUCCUUGCUAGCUUACAGCUGAAGCGUACAUCAGUUCACUACCCUAGUACCUUGUUGGCGAUAAUAUGCAAACCAUAACACGCACUAUUGCUGAUUUCAAAGCUGAUUGUCUCCAAAAAAUGUAUUCAUUCAUGUGAUCUCCCUCGCCUCACUUCUCUUCCAGUCAAUAUUGUCUUUGCUGGAGCCCCAAACUGAGUGUGAAUGACAUCAUGGGUCUUAAAGAGACAGCGCACACAUUUGAUAAAAUACGUUUUUUUUCUUCUUCUAUGCAAAUGUUGUUGGUCAGUACAAUAAAAUAAG